rnacentral:tRNA from 1 species
CGGGAUGUAGCUCAGCUUGGGAGAGCACCUGCUUUGGGAGCAGGGGGUCGCAGGUUCGAAUCCUGUCAUCCCGACCA